CCCUCCUCUCUUUCCCCUUGCCCCCUCCUCUCCUUUCCCCUUGCCCUACUCUGGCCACAGGGAACAGGGAACUUCCGAAUAACUAAGGCUUGACCUACCUUUGUUUGUGACUCCCUGCCUAGUUAAGGUCUUUCUGCCCCACUGGUUUCAUGGUCAGAUGUUCCAGUAAGAUAGGGGCUUCCCAAAAGCAGUGACUCCAUCCUCCCUGACCGAAACCUGCUGCUACAUACCCCAGCCCCAGUCACCCACCCCCACCAAUGGACUGGUGCUCUCCCACCUGCAAGACCCCUAUAUAAGCUUCCAACUCAGCCCAUGCAGUUGCUGGUCUCCAUUCUGUCAGUCAGCCCAGCAGGCUGCAGACUGCCGCCCCAAUAAAGCUUGCCUGAACGUCCAUGUGUGCCCCCCCUUCUUCAGUGACCCUUACAUUCUGGUGCCAAAACCCAGGAGGCAGCGCUAUUGGGACCUGUGGGCUCACCCCACUGGGGUCCAGAACUGCACUCCCGAUGGCCCCUUCCCGGGCCUGCAGUUGCCGAACUGGGGCACACACCUCUGGGGCUUUCAGUCCUUUGCCAUUGCUGAUGCUGCAUCCAACACCAGCCUGAUUCUCUCAACAGUGUGGGAGGCCAGUCCCCUCCUCCCUUCCCAUGAGGGAAUCUGGUCCGUCUCUGCCUGA
rnacentral:lncRNA from 1 species